rnacentral:rRNA from 1 species
AACGAACGCUGGCGGCAUGCCUAACACAUGCAAGUCGAACGAGACCUUCGGGUCUAGUGGCGCACGGGUGCGUAACGCGUGGGAACCUGCCCUUAGGUUCGGAAUAACUCCCCGAAAGGGGUGCUAAUACCGGAUAAUGUCUUCGGACCAAAGAUUUAUCGCCUUUGGAUGGGCCCGCGUUGGAUUAGCUAGUUGGUAGGGUAAAAGCCUACCAAGGCGACGAUCCAUAGCUGGUCUGAGAGGAUGAUCAGCCACACUGGGACUGAGACACGGCCCAGACUCCUGCGGGAGGCAGCAGUGGGGACUAUUGGAGAGUGGGCGAAAGCCUGAUACAGCAAUGCCGGGUGAGUGAUGAAGGCCUUAGGGUUGUAAAGCUCUUUUACCCGGGAUGAUAAUGACAGUACCGGGAGAAUAAGCUCCGGCUAACUCCGUG